CGGCGAGUGAAGCGGCAACAGCUCAAAUUUGAAAUCUGGCCCUUUCAGGGUCCGAGUUGUAAUUUGUAGAGGAUGUUUCGGGUGUGGCUCCGGUCUAAGUUCCUUGGAACAGGACGUCAUAGAGGGUGAGAAUCCCGUAUGUGACUGGUAGCCUAUGCUCAUGUGAAACUCCUUCGACGAGUCGAGUUGUUUGGGAAUGCAGCUCAAAAUGGGUGGUAAAUUUCAUCUAAAGCUAAAUAUUGGCCAGAGACCGAUAGCGCACAAGUAGAGUGAUCGAAAGAUGAAAAGCACUUUGGAAAGAGAGUUAAACAGUACGUGAAAUUGUUGAAAGGGAAGCGCUUGCAACCAGACUUGCAUGUAGCUGAUCAACCGGUGUUCUCACCGGUGCACUCAGUUGCGUUCAGGCCAGCAUCGGUUUCGACGGUUGGAUAAAGGCCUUGGGAAUGUAGCUCCUCUCGGGGAGUGUUAUAGCCCAGGGUGCAAUGCAGCCUGUUGGGACCGAGGACCGCGCUUCGGCUAGGAUGCUGGCGUAAUGGUUGUAAGCGACCCGUCUUGAAACACGGACCAAGGAGUCUAACAUCUAUGCGAGUGUUUGGGUGUCAAACCCAUACGCGUAAUGAAAGUGAACGGAGGUGAGAACCCUUAAGGGUGCAUCAUCGACCGAUCCUGAUGUCUUCGGAUGGAUUUGAGUAAGAGCAUAGCUGUUGGGACCCGAAAGAUGGUGAACUAUGCCUGAAUAGGGUGAAGCCAGAGGAAACUCUGGUGGAGGCUCGCAGCGGUUCUGACGUGCAAAUCGAUCGUCAAAUUUGGGUAUAG
rnacentral:rRNA from 1 species